rnacentral:rRNA from 1 species
AUUGAACGCUGGCGGCAGGCCUAACACAUGCAAGUCGAGCGGCAGCGGGACCUUCGGGUUGCCGGCGAGCGGCGGACGGGUGAGUAAUGCCUAGGAAUCUGCCUGUUAGUGGGGGAUAACGCGGGGAAACUCGCGCUAAUACCGCAUACGUCCUACGGGAGAAAGUGGGGGACCUUCGGGCCUCACGCUAACAGAUGAGCCUAGGUCGGAUUAGCUAGUUGGUGGGGUAACGGCCCACCAAGGCGACGAUCCGUAACUGGUCUGAGAGGAUGAUCAGUCACACUGGAACUGAGACACGGUCCAGACUCCUACGGGAGGCAGCAGUGGGGAAUAUUGGACAAUGGGCGAAAGCCUGAUCCAGCCAUGCCGCGUGUGUGAAGAAGGUCUUCGGAUUGUAAAGCACUUUAAGCCGGGAGGAAGGGCUGUAGGCGAAUACCCUGCAGUCUUGACGUUACCGGCAGAAUAAGCACCGGCUAACUUCGUGCCAGCCGCCACGGUAAGAC